CAUGGCUUUUUGUGCCAUUUAUUAAAAUUCAUAUAUUUGUUUUCCUUGUAAUAUUCCAAGAAGAAAUGUAAAUUAUUAACAAAUUUUGACACUCAACCAUCACUUUUAACUCCCAUUGACUGCUCCCUCCUUCCUUUCUUUCCUCUCUUCAUAAGCUUAUGACAUAGAUCCCUUGAGCAGGACCUUGGUCCUUCUCUUUAUAGCACAUCCUCCUAUGAUCUUUUUCUUGAUCCAUGGGCAGUUUUUUUAUCUGUGUUUAGCUCUUGGAACAGAGAAGAGGAUAUCAGUCCUCUCCCUUAGUCCUCGCUUCCCCCCUUCUGAAGAAAUGGAAAGCCCAUGAUCUCUUGCUUCUCCUACACCUUGGACAACUAGCAAUAAAUUUUUAUUCUCCUCUAUCCUUCUCUUCCUCGUUCUCGUUGGCUGUUCUUUUUUGUGUGAAUAAAAGGAAAGAGAAAGGGGAUCGGCCCCGAAAGGAAAGCUGUAUCAUGGGCUGUGUGCAAGCCAAGUGCUGGCUUCGCUGCCGCCGGUGCUGCUGCCUGGACCAGCCAUCCUCCGCCGGCGGCGACGGCGGCGCCUCCCGUGACGGCGACUCCGGCCGGCGCCAGCACCUCCUCUCCGGCAGCCCCCUGGGCUCCGCCGCCAUCCCCUCCCACGGCCUCCUCCUCCAGUACUCCUACCUCUCCCAGCGCGGACACUACCCCGACUCCCCCGAUCGCGAGAACCAGGACACCCUCUCCAUCAAGACCCAGCUCCAAGGCAACCCGAACCUCCACCUCUUCGCUGUCUUCGACGGCCAUGGCCAUUUCGGCGCACAGUGCGCCGCCUUCGCCAGCGAGCACCUCGUCGAUCACCUCGCCGGCGACCCCUCUCUACUCGACGACCCCGUCAAAUCCUUCAAUUCCGCCUUCUUCGCCGCCAAUUCCGAGCUCCACGACAGCGAGAUCGACGACACGAUGAGCGGCACGACGGCGAUCGCCGUCCUCGUGGGCGGCGACACGCUUUUCGUCGCGAACGUCGGCGACUCGAGGGCGGUCGCUGGCGUCUGGAAUGGGCAGCGUGUGGUGGCGGAGGACCUGUCCAGUGAUCAGACGCCGUUCCGGAAGGAUGAGUAUGAGAGGGUGCGGCGGUGUGGGGCGAGGGUGCUGAGCGUCGACCAGGUGGAGGGCGUCAAGGAUCCGGCAAUUCAGAGCUGGGGGAUGGAGAGUGAUGGGGACCCGCCGAGGCUGUGGGUUCAGAAUGGGAUGUACCCCGGGACGGCGUUCACGAGGAGCGUCGGGGACUCGACGGCGGAGAGCAUCGGCGUCGUCGCCGUGCCGGAGGUCAUGACGGUGAAGAUCACGCCGAACCAUCUCUUUUUUGUUGUGGCGAGCGACGGGGUUUUUGAGUUCCUCUCGAGUCAGGCUGUGGUGGAUAUGGUGUCCAGAUACCCAGAUCCCCAAGAUGCCUGCUCAGCAAUUGCUGCAGAAUCUUACAAAUUAUGGUUAGAGAAUGAAAUUCGGACUGAUGAUAUAACAAUCAUUGUCGUGCACAUCAAAGACUUGGGUGAUUCAGAUGCUGUAGCAACUAAUGAAGCAAGUCAUAUCGGCACAAAAGCUUCUCUAAUGGUUUCACAGAAAGCAAGCACAGAGAGAUGUGCAUCUCCAGGGUCAGAAACUGGUCAUCCAAAAGGAAGGAAUUUCCUUGAGCUGCAGUCAUGUCCUCCUGACUUUUCCCUGGAACGAAGUCUUGCAUGUGUUGCUCCUUCUCCUACACACUCUUUAUCUAUAGAAACGUGAUAUACCCAGACUGACUGACUGACCGAGGCUGCCUGUAUUCCUCCACCUUCCAGUACAGGAUAAGUUCCGCAAUGGUGGAGGGAAUAAUUCAAUUCCUUGUGGUCUUUUAGUUCCAAGAAUCUAUUAUGAGGAGCUUUCUUUAUCAUCUUGGCCACAUUUCCAGUAUGUCACAUUUUAGAUCCCCUUUAUAUUCAACUCAAAAGGCUGUUCAAAGUAGUAUGGAUUUGAGGGAAACAUGGUGCCUCUCGACCUUUUCAAGGACCAUCGAGCGGCCAUUGCUGCGUGGAUGUGGAAGAUGGUUGUGCAGUAUUUGACAUCCUACCUGUUAAUUUAUUGCAUAUAGCACUAGGGAUGAAGCAUCGGAUGGUCGGCAUAUGAAAUGCUCGUGUUAGGAAGUUGAGGCUUGUAAUAAGGUGAUGAAUAACAUUCCCACGGAAAGCAUAGACGAACCUGUUUUAUCUUUUGGAGAAAUGUUAUUUCAUUUGUUAAAUUAAGCUGGCCAGCAAUGAGAUUGGCCAUCUUGUACAAAACUAACUAGACUAGCCAUGUGGAAAGUGCUUGAAAAAUGCUAAA